CUCAGCUCCGACUUCCAGUCACUGCCUCUCACCUCAGCAGCCACAUAACUGCCGUGACUCCCGAAGAGUUUUGCCGGGUAUGAAAAACGUAACCCUGAUGAUGUCACUGUGAUGACCUCUGGAUGGCUCUAUUGACAGAUACUGACAGACGGCUUUAUGGGAAAUGUGGGAUCCAUUUUUUUUUCCCGUCUCUUUCUCUUUGGAGGUCCGUUACAGUGGAGAGAGACAAGAAGUGGGGGAAGGACACUUGGGCAAGCUGACGACAGGCCGGGACUCAAACCUGCGCCGCCCGCGCCGCAGCACGGCACAUGCAUGUGGUCACCAGCUGGACCACUAAGCCACCUGGGCACCCCUUAGGCAGCAGUUUAAGUAUUAUAUUAUCUGACCAAUAUAUUAUUCAUGUAUAGGAUGAUCUAAAUGUAUCCACUUGUCAAUGAUAGAAUUAUGGAGGAUAAAUAUUAUAUUGCAUUACAACAUUGGUUUUAUACCUAAGUCUAAAAAUUGGUCAGAUUUCAAACUACUAAAAAAAUAUAUAAAAAUCAGGCUGCUAAACCUUCUGUGUGUGAUAUCCUUUUUUUUAAACACAGAAUAUUAGCUUUUCCCCAGAUCAAAAAAAUUAAUCCAACAUAUUUUGAGUUUUUCAUUGCAUCACAUGACAGACUGACCUUACUCAGUUAAAACUGUGGGGGCUGAAACUUUGAACUAAGUUGUCUGUCUGUAUAGACAAAUACAGAAUGAACUGUCAAGUUUGAACUCCUCAAUCCAGAUUUAAAACGAUGUAAGCACACACGCAC